AAUAAAAUUAAUCACUCUCAACUGAGUAAUUUAUUAAAGGGUUUGAAGGAUAUUUUUCCAGAAUAUGAACUUCCACGCGAUGCUCGCACUCUGUUAAAAACUAAACGAUCAUCAAAUAUUGUGUCAGUCUUAAGCAAAACGAAGACAAUAGCUCAGUACACAUAUUUUGGUAUAAAAGAGUAUCUAUUAACGUUGCUACAAAAUGAAAAUGUAUUUACUGAACUAAAAGAAACACUUAUGUUUCGAUUAAUUUUUAAUAUCGAUGGCAUUCCGAUUUCAAAAAGUUCGAACAAACAGUUUUGGCCCAUUUUAUGCAAAUUAAUAUUAAACAAUUGUACGGUGUCUCCUUUUCCGAUAGCAAUAUAUUAUGGUAAUGCAAAACCGAAUUCCUUGGUUGAUUACUUAAAUGAUUUUAUACGUGAAUUAAAUGAUAUUUUAGAGCAUGGAUUAUUUUACAAUAAUACUUAUUUUAAAGUAGAUGUUAUAUGCUUUACGUGUGAUGCACCUGCAAGAGCAUUUUUAAAAAAUAUUAAGGGACAUACAGGUCGCAAUAGCUGUGAAAGAUGUACAGAAGAAGGUACAUAUUAUAAAAAACGAAUUAUCUAUGAAAACCAUAAUGCUAGUGCUCGGACACAUUUUGAUUUUGAACAUUUCCGCGACAUGAACCACCAUCAAAACGAUGAAAGGAUACCUUUAUUAAAUAUAAUUAAAUUAGAUAUAAUAAAACAUUUUGCUUUAGAUUAUAUGCAUUUAUGCUGUUUAGGAGUCAUGAAGAAAUUACUUGGUCAUUGGUGUAAGAUAGAGUUUAGAUUACAACAGAGAAACAAAUUAUCUGAAAGAAUGGUUUCUGCUGCAAAAUAUUUACCAAGUGAAUUUAAUCGUAAAUCACGACCCAUAUCGGAACUACCUAGAUACAAAGCUACGGAGUUUCGUUUAUUUCUCUUGUAUUUGGGGCCAAUUGUUUUGAAGGGAGUUCUUCCAAAUGAGCAUUAUAAGCAUUUUUUAUUAUUUCACGCAGCUAUUAGAAUUUUGCUACAUAAUAAAUUACGUUUAAACGUAGAGUGGCUAAACAAAGCUCGAGAAAUGCUAAUUUUAUUUGUAAAUAAUUCUUCUGCUUUGUAUGGUAGAGAAUUUUGUAUAUAUAAUGUUCAUAAUUUAGUGCACAUUACAGACGAUGUCGAAAAUUUAAACUAUUCUUUGGAGGAAUUAAGUUGCUUCCCUUUUGAAAAUUACUUGGGAAAGCUAAUAAGCAUGCUACGUAGAUGGAAUAAACCAUUGGCACAAAUAACAAAAAGGUUAUCGGAAAAUGGAGCACCUACAGUCAUAAAAAAUGUUAACGAAAUAAUUGUUAAAGUACAAAAUAAUAAAAAAAAAGUACAACUUCCUUAUUUUGAUUUAAAAGCUUAUGGGUUUCGUGAUUGUUAUAUUUUUGUAACGAAUGAUUAUGUCCUGCAAAUCACAAACAUAUUAGAAAAUAAAAUAGUUGGCAAAUUAUCAACAAAAUUAGAAACUUUUUACAAAUACCCUGUCGAAUCCAAAAUAAUAGGAAUAUUUAAAUUUAAUAAUUUCACAGAUGAAAUUAUUUCAUUUGGUCUGAAUGAAAUUGCGCAUAAAGCAUUUAUAGUUAAAUACCACUCGUACUUUGUAGCAUAUGAACUGCUCCAUUUAUAUAAUUAAUUAGGUAGUAUUUUAUUAUUAGUCAUUAAUUUAUCAGUUAUUAUUAUUGAUUACUUUUUCUUCUUGAACGUUAAGUACACAUACACACAUAUACACUUCUUCUGUUCCAAAACACUCUUAUUGGUAUAGGAUUAAUCCCAAAAUUUUUUAGAUGUCAUCCAAAAAAGCAUAUCCAAUUACACAAAAGCGACGUGCAAUUAUGUAUGAUUCCGAUUCUGCGAGUGAAAGCUCAGAAAUUAAUCAGCCUAAUACAGAAGCACCAAAUACAAAUAUUAUAACGUUAAGUAAAGAACCAUUGGCAUUGUUAAAUCGUCAAUAUGUUGAACUGAAAUAUGACAUUAAACAAAUUU